CAUAUUUUAAACCUUCGUCAGGGAGUUUUAAGAACUCCCAUGUUGGGGUGCCUGGGUGGCUCAGUGGGUUAAAGUCUCUGCCUUUGGCUCAGGUCAUGAUCCCAGGGUCCUGGGAUUGAGCUCUGCAUUGGGCUCU